rnacentral:antisense_RNA from 1 species
CUUGACGGAGCCGAGCCACACCGGGCGGUCGGCGGAUCGGCCCUGGCCGUAGGUGGCGAGGAGUGCCUGCGCCUC